AUAGUACCAAAAUGUCUCAGAAGAGCAUCUGGGGGAUGCUUGUGGGGAGCAUAUGUAUGAGCUUGAAGAAGCAUAUGUAUGAAGUGAAUUUUUUUGCAGAACAGAUGUCAGAUAUGUUGAACUGUGAUACAAUGUAGAUCAUUUUAUUGGCUUCCUUGUAAGGGACAGUUUUUAAAAGAACACUGACUAAUCUCUGCUACUUUCUUGUACAUCAUCAAGGGAGAGAGAUAAGUCAGUGACCAACUUCUUGAAGAGAUGAAGAACGCCUUCAAGGUGAAGGGAGGCCAAGAGAAAAAGGCCACUUUCCUUGAGGCAAGGUAAUAAGAGGUGGGGGGGCAUCCAAUCGUGGGUUUGGAGGACUUUUUUUUUAAGGUCUUGACAACGGAGCUCUUGACAUUUCUCUUUUUCCUUUCUGAGGCCCUGCCUCCUGGAGGGGAAAGAAAAGGAUGAAAAAAACUCAUAGGAAAUGUAAGUGAUCUUUAUUGACCUGUGACUUUAGUGUAACCAUGGCCUCUGGCAUGUGACUCAAUGUGCAUUUCUUGUCAAAACAGGUAAGGGAAUUGUGCACUGCUCUGAAGGAAUGUAUAGUGUGUGUCUGUACAGUGCUGAAAGGCAUGAGAUUGAUGUGAGGGCUGAGGUGAGAAGAGGAGGAUACAGGAAAAGGUCUGAAGAAUUGCACAAACAAAAUUACCUGCCAGUAUAUGAGAGGUAUCAACUUCCUCAAGUUCCCUAGGUGUAAUAUACAUCUCACUGCAAGUUCUUGAGUUGAGGGCUUGGACGUCCCAAACACUAUUACUGUCAUGGAUGAAAGAUACAGGCACAGAUAUCCUACAGAGUAAAUGAAUGUACACAUGGAAAUUCAUUUCAAAUUUACAGAUAAUCUUCCAAAAAACUCUGAGAAAGCAAGCUAUGAUACGUCACCACUUUUGCCCAUAAAAGUCAAAACAAAAUUCUUUCCAACACCAUGAAAAUAUUGGAAAGAAUGAAGUUAUACCCAAGAAUUUAAAUGUUGAAGACAUCUGAUGUCAUGGUUUUGUGAUUUUCGGUUAUUGGUACUCCAC
rnacentral:lncRNA from 1 species